rnacentral:rRNA from 1 species
AGAGUUUGAUCAUGGCUCAGAUUGAACGCUGGCGGCAGGCUUAACACAUGCAAGUCGAGCGGGCGGGGUUGCUUCGGUAACUGAGCUAGCGACGGACGGGUGAGUAAUGCUUAGGAAUCUGCCUAUUAGUGGGGGACAACAUUCCGAAAGGGAUGCUAAUACCGCAUACGUCCUACGGGAGAAAGCAGGGGAUCACUUGUGACCUUGCGCUAAUAGAUGAGCCUAAGUCGGAUUAGCUAGUUGGUGGGGUAAAGGCCUACCAAGGCGACGAUCUGUAGCGGGUCUGAGAGGAUGAUCCGCCACACUGGGACUGAGACACGGCCCAGACUCCUACGGGAGGCAGCAGUGGGGAAUAUUGGACAAUGGGGGGAACCCUGAUCCAGCCAUGCCGCGUGUGUGAAGAAGGCCUUUUGGUUGUAAAGCACUUUAAGUGGGGAGGAGGCUUACCUGGUUAAUACCUGGGCUAAGUGGACGUUACCCACAGAAUAAGCACCGGCUAACUCUGUGCCAGCAGCCGCGGUAA